UACCAAGGCGACGAUCGUUUAGCGGGUCUGAGAGGACGAUCCGCCACACUGGGACUGAGACACGGCCCAGACUCCUACGGGAGGCAGCAGUGGGGAAUUUUUGGACAAAUGGGGCGAAAGCCUGAUCCAGCAAUGCCGCGUGAGUGAAGAAGGCCUUCGGGUUGUAAAGCUCUUUUGUUGGAAGAAAUCCUUAGUGCUAAUACCGCUGGGGAUGACGGUACCAAAAGAAUAAGCACCGGCUAACUACGUGCCAGCAGCCGCGGUAAUACGUAGGGUGCAAGCGUUAAUCGGAAUUACUGGGCGUAAAGCGUGCGCAGGCGGUUUUGUAAGACAGGUGUGAAAUCCCCGAGCUCAACUUGGGAACUGCACUUGUGACUGCAAGACUAGAGUGUGUCAGAGGGAGGUAGAAUUCCACGUGUAGCAGUGAAAUGCGUAGAGAUGUGGAGGAAUACCGGUGGCGAAGGCGGCCUCCUGGGAUAACACUGACGCUCAUGUACGAAAGCGUGGGGAGC
rnacentral:rRNA from 1 species